rnacentral:lncRNA from 1 species
AGAGAGAGAGAGAGAGAGAGAGGCGGAGAGGCCGAGAGAGUAGGAAACAACAUAGGGUUUUUUUUUGUUUCUUAUUUAUACUGUAAUUAAGAUUCAAUUAAUUAGUGUAUUUUAAAGUCUAAUUCUUUCCUUAUUUGGAAGUGAGUCUUUAUUAUUGGGACACCCCAAUAAGGAAAGUGGGUCUUAAAUAAUGGGACGGAGGGAGUAUUAUAUUUUCUUUUCUUUUGGACUUCCAGCCCAAAGUACUUAUAAGAAAUCGGCCCAAUCAAUUUCAAUGUGUACGUGAGUUUGUAUAAUUCAUUUGUAAAUUUCUGAAUUGUUCCUUUCUCUCCUAGAAUGCUACAGUUUAAACAAGAAGGAGCUACGUCAAUCUGCUCUAACUUUUUUUUUUUUUAUACGAACAAUUUUGGCAUCUACAAUCCUUCACACCAACUUUUAACCCUCAUAUAAAAAUCAAUUUUU